GAGUUUGAUCGUGGCUCAGGACGAACGCUGGCGGCGCGCCUAACACAUGCAAGUCGAACGGAGAUACUUAAAAGUUUACUUUUGAGUAUCUUAGUGGCGGACGGGUGAGUAACACGUGAGCAACCUACCCUUCAGUGUGGAAUAACGAUUGGAAACGAUCGCUAAUACCGCAUAACAUCUUGGGACCGCAUGGUUCUGGGAUCAAAGAUUUAUCGCUGAGGGAUGGGCUCGCGGCCGAUUAGCUAGAUGGUGAGGUAACGGCCCACCAUGGCGACGAUCGGUAGCCGGACUGAGAGGUUGAACGGCCACAUUGGGACUGAGACACGGCCCAGACUCCUACGGGAGGCAGCAGUGGGGAAUAUUGCACAAUGGGGGAAACCCUGAUGCAGCGACGCCGCGUGAAGGAAGAAGUAUCUCGGUAUGUAAACUUCUAUCAGCAGGGAAGAAAAUGACGGUACCUGACUAAGAAGCCCCGGCUAACUACGUGCCAGCAGCCGCAGUAAG
rnacentral:rRNA from 1 species